GAUGAACGCUGGCGGCGUGCCUAAUACAUGCAAGUCGAGCGAAGCGGGGACGGGUGAGUAACACGUGGAUAACCUCCUAUAAGACUGGGAUAACUUCGGGAAACCGGAGCUAAACCGGAUACUUAUCGAUGGAUCCGCGCUGCAUUAGCUAGUUGGUAAGGUAACGGCUUACGAAUGAAACGAUGCAUACCCGACCUGAGAGGGGGAUCUGCCACACUGGAACUGAGACACGGUCCAGACUCCGAGGGGAGGCAGCAGUAGGGAAUCUUCCGCAAUGGGCGAAAGCCUGCCGGAGCAACGCCGCGUGAGUGAUGAAGGUCGUCGGAUCGUAAAACUCUGUUAUUAGAGAAGCGGUAUCUAACCAGAAAGCCACGGCUAACUACGUGCCAGCAGCCGCGGUAAUAC
rnacentral:rRNA from 1 species